rnacentral:lncRNA from 1 species
AGGUGAUAUAGACGAGGAGUUGGAUUUUGGGCUCGACGAGAGGACGAUCUAGCUAGUAUGGUAUAGCGAUCGCCACCCUGGUUGUAUUUCUUUCCCGCCUUUAGUAGUCAUUUAAAUAAUGGUUCAGUUAGCUGAUUUUUAUGAUUGAUUGAAUGUGGUGAUCUGGUUUUGGUAGAUCUGUGGAUGCUUUCAUUAUUUAUGCAUGUGAACUGAGGUUUGUGGAUUUGGAUGUUGAUUCUAUGGAUAUCGGAUUUUCUUGUAUUUACAUAUCGUGGUUUUCUACCCCUCGAGGUAGUUGAUUUUCAAAAUAGAGUUUCCGUGUGGGAAAUAGUUUUAAAAAGAUUUUCAAAUGAUUUUUCAUGAUGAAUGAAUUAGAGUUCAAAAAUAAAAGCUUCUGUGUGGGGAGCACUUUUAAAUAGGAUGAUUGUUGUACUGUGCAUUACAUCAUCCAGCGCCUAAGGAGUGCUUAGAGGCAUGCAUCAUCUCUAAGGAUUGUUAGCUGUAUGAAAAUGCAUAUCAUUAAUUGGUUGUUGAUUGGUAAUUGUAGGUUGUGGUUGUGAUCCUGUUGUAUAGUUGGUACGCCGUGCAAAUACAAAGAAGACUCUGUCCGAGUGGACAGAUGAACUUUGUAUUUG